rnacentral:rRNA from 1 species
CCUACGGGAGGCAGCAGUGGGGAAUUUUGCGCAAUGGGGGAAACCCUGACGCAGCGACGCCGCGUGGAGGAUGAAGGCCUUAGGGUUGUAAACUCCUUUUGUGGGGGACAAUGGUGAUGGUACCCCAUGAAUAAGCCACGGCUAACUCUGUGCCAGCAGCCGCGGUAAGACAGAGGUGGCAAGCGUUGUUCGGAAUCACUGGGCUUAAAGGGCGUGUAGGCGGCAUUGCAAGUCUGGGGUGGAAUCCGGUGGCUAAACCCCCGAACUGCCUUGGAAACUGAAUUGCUUGAGUCAGUGAGGGGAGGGCGAAAUUCCCGUUGUAGCAGUAAAAUGCGUAGAUAUCGGGAGGAGGGCCGGUGGCGAGGGCGGCCUUCUGGUGCUUGACUGACGCUGAGGCGCUAAAGCGUGGGGAGCAAACAGGAUUAGAUCCCCUGGUAUU